UACGGAAGGCAGCAGUGGGGAAUAUUGCACAAUGGGCGAAAGCCUGAUGCAGCUAUGCCGCGUGUAUGAAGAAGGCCUUUAGGGUUGUAAAGUACUUUCAUCGGGGAGGAAAAACAAAACUAAUAAUUUUAUUUCUUGACGUUACCCGAAAAAGAAGCACCGGCUAACUCCGUGCCAGCAGCCGCGGUAAUACGGAGGGUGCUAGCGUUAAUCAGAAUUACUGGGCGUAAAGAGCACGUAGGUGGUUUUUUUAAGUCAGAUGUGAAAUCCCUGGGCUUAACCUAGGAACUGCAUUUUGAAACUGAAAUACUAGAGUAUCGUAGAGGGAGGUAGAAUUCUAGGUGUAGCGGUGAAAUGCGUAGAUAUCUGGAGGAAUACCUGUGGCGAAAGCGGCCUCCUAAACGAAUACUGACACUGAGGUGCGAAAAGCGUGGGGAGCAAACAGGGAUUAGAUACC
rnacentral:rRNA from 1 species